rnacentral:rRNA from 1 species
GUGCCAGCCGCCGCGGUAAAACGUAGGAGGCGAGCGUUAUUCGGAUUUACUGGGCGUAAAGCGCGUGCAGGCGGCUUCGUAAGUCAGGCGUGAAAUCUCCCGGCUUAACUGGGAGGCUGCGUCUGAUACUGCGGAGCUAGAGGUCGGGAGAGGGAAGUGGAAUUCCCGGUGUAACGGUGGAAUGUGUAGAUAUCGGGAGGAACACCAGUGGCGAAGGCGGCUUCCUGGCCCGCACCUGACGCUCAGACGCGAAAGCGUGGGGAGCGAACGGGAUUAGAUACCCCGGUAGUCCACGCCGUAAACGAUGGAUACUAGGUGUCGGUGGUGUUGACCCCAUCGGUGCCGUAGCUAACGCGUUAAGUAUCCCGCCUGGGGACUACGGCCGCAAGGCUAAAACUCAAAUGAAUUGACGGGG